GUUUGACCUCAAAUCAGGUAGGAGUACCCGCUGAACUUAAGCAUAUCUA
rnacentral:rRNA from 1 species